rnacentral:lncRNA from 1 species
CUUUUAUAAGCUCUGACUUCACUCUUUCUUCCAAGGGCCACCUCACUCUUGCCUUAUUGCCUGCUUCUUCAUGACUCUCUACCUCUCUAUCUUAGGCUUCGACCACUUUGAUAUUAACUAUAUUUUCUCCUUUUCUGAAUUCUUGAUGCUCUGGCAUUUGCGGGCUAACUGACUGGGGAAAGACUGCCUCUCCUAGGGCUAGCCAUUUCUUAGAGACAGCAAACAAUCCUCUGGGAAGUGUGCCUUUCAUAUGUGAACUAACCAGUCCAGAGCCUUUAGUCUAAACCACCUUCUCUACAUAGCUUUUAUAUUCCAGGAGGCAAUAUUUUUCGAAUCAUCCCAGGCUCAGAUACUGGACAACUUAGCGACCACCCCUCUGUCCCAGAGCCUGCCAAAAUCCUUCAAAGUAUCCAAUCCUAACCCUGCUCAAGUGCUCACCCUGCCUCGUCGUGGAACCACAGUAAAGGCUUUUGCCUACUCUGUCCUCUUCAUCCUUCUUCCUCUUGACCAACCCUGGUGCUUUUCCACACGGCCCCGCCUGGUUUGGCAUGACCCUCUUGGGAACUUCUUACAACAUUCCUCAAUUUUGAUAAUAUAUGUUUCAAAUGUUCAAUGACCAAAGUGGCAAGGGGCUAUCAUAUUGGAC